rnacentral:rRNA from 1 species
GUGCACCAGGCGCGAAACCUUCGCAAUGCGGGAAACCGCGACGAGGGGACUCCCAGUGCCUACGCUCAGCGUAGGCUGUUCCCGAGCCUAGAAAGCUCGGGGAGUAAGGGCUGGGUAAGACGGGUGCCAGCCGCCGCGGUAAUACCCGCAGCCCGAGUGGUGGCCACUAUUAUUGGGCCUAAAGCGUCCGUAGCCGGCCCGGUAAAUGCCUGGGUAAAUCGUGAGGCCUAACCUCACGAAUUCCGGGUAGACUGCCGGGCUAGGGGACCGGAGGAGGGAGAGGGUACUCCAGGGGUAGGGGUGAAAUCCUGUAAUCCCUGGAGGACCACCGGUGGCGAAGGCGCUCUCCUAGGACGGGUCCGACGGUGAGGGACGAAAGCCAGGGGAGCGAACCGGAUUAGAUACCCGUGUAGU